AACGAACGCUGGCGGCAGGCUUAACACAUGCAAGUCGAGCGCCCCGCAAGGGGAGCGGCAGACGGGUGAGUAACGCGUGGGAACGUGCCCUUUGCUACGGAAUAGCUCCGGGAAACUGGAAUUAGUACCGUAUGAGCCCUUAGGGGGAAAGAUUUAUCGGCAAAGGAUCGGCCCGCGUUGGAUUAGCUAGUUGGUGGGGUAAAGGCCUACCAAGGCGACGAUCCAUAGCUGGUCUGAGAGGAUGAUCAGCCACAUUGGGACUGAGACACGGCCCAAACUCCUACGGGAGGCAGCAGUGGGGAAUAUUGGACAAUGGGCGCAAGCCUGAUCCAGCCAUGCCGCGUGAGUGAUGAAGGCCUUAGGGUUGUAAAGCUCUUUCACCGGAGAAGAUAAUGACGGUAUCCGGAGAAGAAGCCCCGGCUAACUACGUGCCAGCCGCCGCCGUAA
rnacentral:rRNA from 1 species